UCCCGUUGAUCCUGCGGGAGAGUGCUGCUAGUAGGAUUCGAUUUAGCCAUGCAAGUCAGGUAGCAAUACCGGCAAAAUGCUCAGUAACACGUCAAUAAUCUGCCCUUAGGUCAGGGAUAAGCUUGGGAAACUAAGCGUAACACCUGAUAGGGAAACAGGACUGGAAUGUCCGUUUUCUUAAACUCGUGCCUAAGGAUGAGUUGGCGGCGGAUUAGCUUGUUGGUGGGGUAAUGGCCCACCAAGGCGAAGAUCCGUACGGGCCUUGAGAGAGGUAGCCCGGAGAGGGAAACUGAGAUACUGUUCCCAGCCCUACGGGGUGCAGCAGGCGCGAAACCUUCACAAUGCACGAAAGUGUGAUGAGGGGAUCCUACGUGCUCAUGCUUAGCAUGGGCUUUUGUUGAAUGUAAGGAGUUCAGCGAAUAAGGGGUGGGUAAGACUGGUGCCAGCCGCCGCGGUAACACCAGCGCCCCGAGUGGUGCUCGCGAUUAUUGGGCCUAAAGCGUUCGUAGCCGGUUUGAUAAAUUCCUUGUGAAAUCGUCGUGCUUAACACGACGGCGUGCAGGGAACACUGUCAAACUUGGGACCGGGAGGAGUCUGAGGUAUGCCCUGGGGACUGGUAAAAUGGGAUAAUCCAGGGUAGACCGCCGAUGGCGAAGGCAUCAGACCAGAACGGAUCCGACGGUGAGGAACGAAAGCCAGGGGAGCGAACCGGAUUAGAUACCCGAGUAGUCCUGGCCGUAAACGCUGUGAGCUAGGUGUUGCCCCUCCCACGAGGAUGGGCAGUGUCGAAAUGAAGAUGUUAAGCUCACCGCCUGGGAAGUACGGUCGCAAGACUGAAACUUUAAGGAAUUGGCGGGGGCGCACCACAAGGGGUGGAGCGUGCGGUUUAAUCUAACUUUACACAGAGAACCUUACUAGAAGCGACGGCAGGAUGAAGUCCAGGCUGAAGACCUUGACCGACGAGCCGAGAGGUAGUGCAUGGUCGCCGUCAGCUCGUGCCGUAAGGUGUCCAGUUAAGUCUGGUAACGAGCGAGACCUGUGCCCACAGUUGCUAACAGCGCAUGCGGACUGAGCACACUGUGGGGACUGCCUUCGUAAGAAGGAGGAAGGUGCAGGCGACGGUAGGUCUGUAUGCUCCGAAUCUUCUAGGCUACACGCGCGCAACAAUGGUACGGACAAUGGGCUGCGACACCGAAAGGUGGAGCUAAUCCUCUAAACCGUAUCUUAGUCCAGAUCGAGGCUUGUAACUCAGCCUCGUGACGCUGGAAUCCCUAGUAAUCGGCUUUCAUCAAAUGCCGGUGAAUAUGUCCCUGCGCCUUGCACACACCGCCCGUCAAACCAACCGAGCAGGGUUUCGGUAAAAUCAUGCCUUUUAGUGUGAUUGAAUCGGAGCUCAGUGAGGUGGGUUAAGUCGUCACAAGGUC
rnacentral:rRNA from 1 species